rnacentral:rRNA from 1 species
UACGUAGGGUCCGAGCGUUGUCCGGAAUUACUGGGCGUAAAGAGCUCGUAGGCGGUUUGUCACGUUGUUCGUGAAAACCCACAGCUCAACUGUGGGCGUGCGAGCGAUACGGGCAGACUAGAGUACUGCAGGGGAGACUGGAAUUCCUGGUGUAGCAGUGAAAUGCGUAGAUAUCAGGAGGAAUACCGAUGGCGAAGGCAGGUCUCUGGGCUAUAACUGACGCUCAUGCACGAAAGCGUGGGGAGCAAACAGG